rnacentral:rRNA from 1 species
AGCAGCCGCGGUAAUUCCAGCUCCAAUAGCGUAUAUUAAAGUUGUUGCAGUUAAAAAGCUCGUAGUUGAAUUUCGGGAUCAAUAUGUCGGUCGUGCCUUCGGUACGUACUGGUAUCAUUGGUCUCUCCUUUCUGACGAACCAUGAUGUCAUUAAUUUGGUGUUAUGGGGAUUAGGACUGUUAACUUUGAAAAAAUUAGAGUGUUUAAAGCAGGCUCACGCUUGAAUACAUUAGCAUGGAAUAAUGAAAUAGGACGUUUGAUUCUAUUUUGUUGGUUUCUAGGAUCGACGUAAUGAUUAAUAGGGAUAGUUGGGGGCAUUAGUAUUCAAUUGUCAGAGGUGAAAUCCUUGGAUUUAUUGAAGACUAACUACUGCGAAAGCAAUUUGCCAAGGAUGUUUUCAUUAAUCAAGAACGAAAGUUAGGGGAUCGAAGACGAUCAGAUACCGUCGUAGUCUUAACCAUAAACUAUGCCGACUAGGGAUCGGAUGAUGUUAAU